UACGUAGGGUGCAAGCGUUAAUCGGAAUUACUGGGCGUAAAGCGCGCGUAGGCGGCUUUGCAAGACAGAUGUGAAAUCCCCGGGCUUAACCUGGGAACUGCAUUUGUGACUGCAUGGCUGGAGUGCGGCAGAGGGGGAUGGAAUUCCGCGUGUAGCAGUGAAAUGCGUAGAUAUGCGGAGGAACACCGAUGGCGAAGGCGAUCCCCUGGGCCUGCACUGACGCUCAUGCGCGAAAGCGUGGGGAGCAAACAGG
rnacentral:rRNA from 1 species